GACGAACGCUGGCGGCGUGCUUAACACAUGCAAGUCGAACGGAAAGGCCCUGCUUUUGUGGGGUGCUCGAGUGGCGAACGGGUGAGUAACACGUGAGUAACCUGCCCUUGACUUUGGGAUAACUUCAGGAAACUGGGGCUAAUACCGGAUAGGAGCUCCUGCUGCAUGGUGGGGGUUGGAAAGUUUCGGCGGUUGGGGAUGGACUCGCGGCUUAUCAGCUUGUUGGUGGGGUAGUGGCCUACCAAGGCCUUGACGGGUAGCCGGCCUGAGAGGGUGACCGGCCACAUUGGGACUGAGAUACGGCCCAGACUCCUACGGGAGGCAGCAGUGGGGAAUAUUGCACAAUGGGCGGAAGCCUGAUGCAGCAACGCCGCGUGCGGGAUGACGGCCUUCGUGUUGUAAACCGCUUUCGCCUGUGACGAAGCGUGAGUGACGGUAAUGGGUAAAGAAGCACCGGCUAACUACGUG
rnacentral:rRNA from 1 species